CUGCUGGAUGGCUGUUGAUGGGGAUGCUCCUGAGGCUGAGGCGGCGGCGGCAGCAACGGCUGCUGCCUGCAGACGACGCUCGGCGGAUUACAUUUGCCAGCAUAACCAUGGCCAUAGCUAAAUCACCAAAGUUGCCAACGUCCUGCAAGAGACAGAGAGGGAAUCGGAUAGCCAGAGUGAGUGAGAGAGAUAGGUGUUUGCAAGUUCCCUGGCGGCUGAUGACUCCUUUCGUUGUUGACCGCCAGUGCAGUAAAGUGUGAAACUUUGCAUAAAUUUGUGCGACAAUGUUGCCGCGCAACAACAUCAACAUAUUUUCCUCGUGGUAAUUAGAAGGUUGGUGCAGUCCGCCACAUGUGCCACAUCCCGUUCGCAGGCUGUGGCACAUUUUAAAUGGUUUUUCUCACAGUCAAUGUUUGCGCGCAGAAUGUUAUUUAAGUUGUGGCGCUUUUUCAAUUUCAAUUAAAACGCCGCAUAGCCAUAUAUCCCAUACUAGCA